rnacentral:rRNA from 1 species
CCUACGGGUGGCAGCAGUGAGGAAUCUUGGUCAAUGGCCGUAAGGCUGAACCAGCCAAGUAGCGUGAGGGAAGACUGCCCUAUGAGCUGUAAACCCCAUUUAUGCGGGGAAAACGGUGUCAACGUGGGGAGGUUUGCAGGUACCGCAAGAUUAAGGACAGGCGAACUACGUGCCAGCAGCCGCGGUAGUACGUAGGGGGCAAGCGUUAGCCGGGUUUACUGGGUGUAAAGGGAGCGUAGGCCGGUUUUUAAGCCAGAUGUGAAAGUCCGCGGCUCAAACGUGGAAUUGCAUUUGAAACUGGAGGCCUUGAGUGCACACAGGGAUGCCGGAAUUCAUGGUGUAGCGGUGAAAUGCUUAGAUAUCAUGAAGAACUCCGGUCGCGAAGGCAAGUGUCCGGGGUGUAACUGACGCUGAGGCUCGAAAGUGCGGGUAUCAAACAGGAUUAGAUACCCCGGUAGUC